AACGCACAUUGCGCCCCUUGGUAUUCCGGGGGGCAUGCCUGUUCGAGCGUCAUUUCAACCCUCAAGCUGAGCUUGGUGUUGGGCACUGCCGGUUACGGCUUGCCUUAAAAUUAGUGGCGGUGCCAUUAUAGCUCUACGCGUAGUAAUUUUAAACCCUCGCGAUUGAGUCUUUGUGGAUGCUUGCCAGCAACCCUCAAAUUUUUAUGGUUGACCUCGGAUCAGGUAGGGAUACCCGCUGAACUUAA
rnacentral:misc_RNA from 1 species